UNCUAACUGCUUUACUUGUGGUGGCCAGGU
rnacentral:piRNA from 1 species